rnacentral:rRNA from 1 species
UGAGGAAUAUUGGACAAUGGGCGCAAGCCUGAUCCAGCAAUGCCGCGUGCAGGAUGAAGGCCUUCGGGUUGUAAACUGCUUUUGUACGGAGCGAAAAGGUCUGCCCUAAUACGGUGGGCUCAUGACGGUACCGUAAGAAUAAGCACCGGCUAACUACGUGCCAGCAGCCGCGGUAAUACGUAGGGUGCGAGCGUUAAUCGGAAUUACUGGGCGUAAAGCGUGCGCAGGCGGUUAUAUAAGACAGAUGUGAAAUCCCCGGGCUCAACCUGGGACCUGCAUUUGUGAGUGUAUAGCUAGAGUACGGUAGAGGGGGAUGGAAUUCCGCGUGUAGCAGUAGAAUGCGUAGAUAUGCGGAGGAACACCGAUGGCGAAGGCAAUCCCCUGGACCUGUACUGACGCUCAUGCACGAAAGCGUGGGGAGCAAACA